AUCUGAUGUUGCAGGCAUUUCGUGCACAAUUUGUUGAAUCUUUCCCAGUAUUCAUACAAGGCCUCCCCCGAUUGCUACUUAACACCACAUAUUUCCUUUUUCAAACU